rnacentral:rRNA from 1 species
GGAUACGGCCACACUCGGUUGAACACACCCGAUCUCGUUCGAUCUCGGAAGUUAAGCAACUGCAGGCCGGGUUAGUACUUGGAUGGGUGACCGCCUGGGAAUCCCCGGUGCCGUAUCCU